AACUAUAAAAAACUAUGGUUUGAAACCAUGAAUGGGAUUUUAAUCCUAUAGUUA
rnacentral:tRNA from 1 species